rnacentral:rRNA from 1 species
GAUGAACGCUAGCUACAGGCUUAACACAUGCAAGUCGAGGGGAAACGACAUCGAAAGCUUGCUUUUGAUGGGCGUCGACCGGCGCACGGGUGGGUAACGCGUAUCCAACCUGCCCACCACUUGGGGAUAACCUUGCGAAAGUAAGACUAAUACCCAAUGACGUCUCUAGAAGACAUCUGAAGGAGAUUAAAGAUUUAUCGGUGAUGGAUGGGGAUGCGUCUGAUUAGCUUGUUGGAGGGGUAACGGCCCACCGAGGCGACGAUCAGUAGGGGUUCUGAGAGGAAGGUCCCCCACAUUGGAACUGGGACGCGGUCCAAACUCCUACGGGAGGCAGCAGUGAGGAAUAUUGGUCAAUGGGCGAGAGCCUGAACCAGCCAAGUGGCGUGCAGGAUGACGGCCCUAUGGGUUGUAAACUGCUUUUAUAAGGGAAUAAAGUGAGUCUCGUGAGUCUUUUUGCAUGUACCUUAUGAAUAAGGACCGGCUAAUUCCGUGCCAGCCGCCGCAGUAA